GGACGAACGCUGGCGGCGUGCCUAAUCCAUGCAAGUCGAGCGUACGGCUGGGAGCUUGCUCCCAGACCGUAAGCGGCGGACGGGUGAGUAACACGUAGGCAACCUUCCUGUAAGACUGGGAUAACUCCGGGAAACCGGAGCUAAUACCGGAUCACUCUUUCCCUCACAUGAGGGAAAGCUGAAAGAUGGCAUCUCGCUAUCACUUACAGAUGGGCCCGCGGCGCAUUAGCUAGUUGGUGAGGUAACGGCUCCCCAAGGCCACGAUGCGUAGCCGACCUGAGAGGGGGAUCGGCCACACUGGGACGGAGACACGGCCCAGAGUCCUACGGGAGGCAGCAGUAGGGAAUCUUACGCAAUGGACGGAAGUCUGACGGAGCAACGCCGCGUGAGUGAUGAAGGUUUUCGGAGCGUAAAACUGUGUUGUCAGUGAAGAACCAGUACCGGAGUAACUGACGGUACCGUGACGGUACCUGACCAGAAAGCCACGGCUAACUACGUG
rnacentral:rRNA from 1 species